CAAACAUAUCCUGAAGCUAGGGGACAUGGCUAGAUCUAGCAUAUACUGGUUUUGGGUGCAUGCAUAGUAAGGCAAACUAUGACCUUAAAAUGAACAUUUGAGGGUGUUGGGGGAAAGAUCUCCAUUUGCCCACUUUCGGCUAUGAGUAAUUGGGAUUAAAGUCAAAUGCAUUGUGGGAAGAGAUGUGAACUAAAGCUUACAUAACCCAUAUCAAUUAGAACUAAAGGACACCCCACUGCUAGCAGUGAGCUCCCUCCCCCUCCAGAACCCACAAAAGGAAGCCACAGCCUUUGUCCACUCCAGCUCAAGUAGUCUGUUGGCCUCUUGUAGAGUAUCUGGCCUGUACUACGUCUGCUUCUGCACAAAAGUCCUUGUCACUUUCCCAUCUGUGUACACCUUCAAUUUUUUAAAAUGCAGUGCCAAGAACCUGGAGACACCCAUUUGGAACAGAGACCUCUGGUACUAGGUGGGUGGGUUCAGAGCUGGUCACACACUUACCCCUUAUUUCCUCCCCACCUUAAAGGGGGUAAAAUACGGACUCGCUGGCUUAGCUCAUCUAAGCAUGGCAGCACAGACAGCACAGUAGAGUCAGGCUGUGGAUAACUUCCCAUAAAGUCAAGUUUCAGAAAUAGAGGGGCCCACCCUGUGUCAUAGCUAAUGAGACACAGGCCAUGGAGAGCCUCUGUUCUCGGGCUGUCACUGCACUGUCCCCUGCUCUAGGUCUCCUCUGCUUUUUAGAAGAAAUUUUAUGUAUGAGCCAGCCAUUUUCUCAGGACAGUUUUUUUGCUGUCAUUUAUUCUUCCCCUCCAGGUAACUUUUGGUUUUUAUUUUAAGCCAGGAUGAGCACAGUUAACAUUCAGAAGGUCCUUCUUUCCCAAACUAGCUCACGGUCGAGUCAGGAGAAGGCCGGGUCCAUUUCCAAGUGAGGGCGUUAAGUGCGCAGAGGAGUCAGAUAGGAACAGGUGACUCAGGACCAGCGCUGGGCAGGGGACUGCAGAGAGCCACAGGGAGCAGGGUCACCUGUGCAGAACCCCUGCCCCACCUCUACGUGCUCUCUGUUCACAGGCCUCUCUCUGUCAAAGACGCGGCUUCCCAGAGUGCUCUCCUCUGGAAGCCCUGCAUUGACCUGUUUCUCAGUCUCUCUCUCCCCAGGUCAGAACUUCCAGCUCCUUGGUCCUGACCUCGCAGCUGCCUCUCAUGCUGAUGUGUACCGGUUACGUCAAUCACAAGUGAACCACAGCUGGCCCGCCAUGAACUGGAAGGUUCUCGAACACGUGCCUCUGCUGCUGUAUAUCUUGGCAGCAAAGACCCUGAUCCUUUGCCUGGCCUUUGCGGGAGUGAAAAUGUACCAGAGGAGAAGCUUGGAAGGAAAACUGCAAGCUGAGAAGAAGCGGCAAUCAGAGAGGAAAGAGAACUGAAGAGACCUUAGAGAUUUUCCUAUUCAAAUGUCAGCUUGGGUGGACUCCAGCAGCGAAGAGAGAAGAAAGACUUAACAGAGGAGGACACAGUUCUGGCCUAGACCUUUAACUUAAAUGAUUAACAGCGUGAAUUUUUAUAAGUUUUUAGAAGAACCAGUAUUUUGUUUACUGAAAUAAAAUGCAUUAUUCUUAAAAA
rnacentral:lncRNA from 1 species